CAGUGGGACAGUGGAAGGUGCCCUGCCCAUGGAAGGGGUGGGAUGAGAUGAUCCUUCAUCUCCCUUCCAACCCCUACCACUCCAGGACCCUGCAGGAAUUCCUUCUUUUCCUCCCUGCCACUCCUGCAUCCCCACAUCAGGAAAGGAGGAGGUGUGUGAGGUGACAGCAAUCACACAGCCCCAGAGGGAGGAGGACAGAGCUGGUGUGAGAUCAGGUGAAAACUCCUCUGGUUGCCUCCACAUCAGGGGAAAUCCCCCAGCCAAGACCCCGCAGCUGCUUUUGCAGUCGCUCCAGAGACAAAGGAACGCCCUGGGAAGAGCAGAGCCUUCAGCCCGGGAAUAUUUGUUCCCUGGAUUU